rnacentral:rRNA from 1 species
AGCAGCCGCGGUAAUACGUAGGUGGCGAGCGUUAUCCGGAUUUACUGGUCGUAAAGGGAGCGUAGGCGGAUGAUUAAGUGGGAUGUGAAAUACCCGGGCUCAACUNGGGUGCUGCAUUCCAAACUGGUUAUCUAGAGUGCAGGAGAGGAGAGUGGAAUUCCUAGUGUAGCGGUGAAAUGCGUAGAGAUUAGGACGAACACCAGUGGUGAAGGCGACUCUCUGGACUGUAACUGACGCUGAGGCUCGAAAGCGUGGGAGCAAACAGGAUUAGAUACCCUGGUAGUCCACGCUGUAAACGAUGAAUACUAGGUGUGGGGGUUUCAACACCUCCGUGCCGCCGCUAACGCAUUAAGUAUUCCGCCUGGGGAGUACGGUCGCAAGAUUAAAACUCAAAGGAAUUGACGGGGACCCGCACAAGUAGCGGAGCAUGUGGUUUAAUUCGAAGCAACGCGAAGAACCUUACCUACACUUGACAUCCCUUGCAUUACUCUUAAUCGAGGAAAUCCCUUCGGGGACAAGGUGACAGGUGGUGCAUGGUUGUCGUCAGCUCGUGUCGUGAGAUGUUGGGUUAAGUCCCGCAACGAGCGCAACCCUUGUCGUUAGUUACUACCAUUAAGUUGAGGACUCUAGCGAGACUGCCUGGGUUAACCAGGAGGAAGGUGGGGAUGACGUCAAAUCAUCAUGCCCCUUAUGUGUAGGGCUACACACGUGCUACAAUGGCUGGUACAGAGAGAUGCAAUACCGCGAGGUGGAGCCAAACUUAAAAACCAGUCUCAGUUCGGAUUGUAGGCUGAAACUCGCCUACAUGAAGCUGGAGUUACUAGUAAUCGCGAAUCAGAAUGUCGCGGUGAAUACGUUCCCGGGUCUUGUACACACCGCCCGUCACACCAUGAGAGUUGGCAAUACCCGAAGUCCGUGAGCUAACCGCAAGGAGGCAGC